CAGGGAGACAACAAAAUGCAAAUAUUAAUUUUGUCACCUUAGGUCGAUCGGUAUCUCAGAUUCUUAUUUUUAAGAAUUUCAGUUUCUAAUUUUUUUCUAGGUCACACCCAUCACUUUUUCCUGGGCCAUUAGCUCAGGUGGUUAGAGCGCACCCCUGAUAAGGGUGAGGUCCCUGGUUCAAGUCCAGGAUGGCCCAUAUCUCUAUGUUGGGGGUAUAGCUCAGUUGGUAGAGCGCCUGCUUUGCAAGCAGGAUGUCAGCGGUUCGAGUCCGCUUACCUCCACUGAAUACCACCUCUUACAUAUAUUUUAAAGAGGGAAAUUGUUUUGAGUCGUGUCCUAAUUUGCUCUGAGCGAAUCUAGCUUCCUAUUUUAUUCAAUAAAUAAGAUGCUGGAGUCAUUGAAUUUUUUUUCAUUGUUUUCAGAGAACCUUGACAACUGCAUAGAUUAUUUUUGAAGACAAUAAGCAUCUUUAAUGAUGCAGAUUUAUUAUUUGUGCGAAUGCAUUAAAUAACAAUUCUAUUAAGCUGAUGCUUCAAUUAUUGAAGUUAUU
rnacentral:tRNA from 1 species